AAUGAACGCUGGCGGCGCGCCUAAUACAUGCAAGUCGAGCGAGAAGACGUAGCAAUACGUUUGUAAAGCGGCGAACGGGUGAGGAAUACAUGGGUAACCUACCCUCGAGUGGGGAAUAACUAGCCGAAAGGUUAGCUAAUACCGCGUACGCUUCUUGGACUUUCGGUUCAGGGAGGAAAGCGAUGCCGGAGGGUAUCGCGCUCGUUGGAUGGGCUCAUCGUCCUAUCAGUCUUGUUGGGAGGUAACGGCUCACCAAGGCUUC
rnacentral:rRNA from 1 species